UAGCGGAACUCCUACGGGAGGCAGCAGUGGGGAAUAUUGGACAAUGGGCGAAAGCCUGAUCCAGCCAUGUCGCGUGUGUGAAGAAGGUCUUCGGAUUGUAAAGCACUUUAAGUUGGGAGGAAGGGCAGUAAGCUAAUACCUUGCUGUUUUGACGUUACCGACAGAAUAAGCACCGGCUAACUUUGUGCCAGCAGCCGCGGUAAUACAGAGGGUGCAAGCGUUAAUCGGAAUUACUGGGCGUAAAGCGCGCGUAGGUGGUUUGUUAAGUUGGAUGUGAAAGCCCCGGGCUCAACCUGGGAACUGCAUCCAAAACUGGCAAGCUAGAGUAUGGUAGAGGGUGGUGGAAUUUCCUGUGUAGCGGUGAAAUGCGUAGAUAUAGGAAGGAACACCAGUGGCGAAGGCGACCACCUGGACUGAUACUGACACUGAGGUGCGAAAGCGUGGGGAGCAAACAGGAUUAGAUACCCGGGUAGUCCACUUAUG
rnacentral:rRNA from 1 species